GGACCCUGCUGGUGAUUUAUGUUUCCAGUAACACAAUCUUCCUUUUUGAUUCAGCUCGAUUGCCUCAUCCAAAAAAGCUCCUCGUGAAGUCUGUACUGCUGAAAUGUUAUGAAGAAGAUAAAUUGUCGAGCUCCUCAAGGUACAACAUGGAAAUCACCGAUGUGCGCACAACAAGAUAACGGAGUUGAUUGUGGACUAUACGUGAUAAGAUUCAUGUUCGACAUAUAUACUAAGUCGUUGUAC